rnacentral:rRNA from 1 species
AGUUUGAUCCUGGCUCAGAUUGAACGCUGGCGGCAUGCCUUACACAUGCAAGUCGAACGGUAGAGUAGCAAUACUCGAGAGUGGCGAACGGGUGAGUAAUAUAGUCGGAACGUGCCCAGUCGUGGGGGAUAACGUAGAGAAAUUUACGCUAAUACCGCAUACGAUCUAAGGAUGAAAGCGGGGGACUCGCAAGGGCCUCGCGCGAUUGGAGCGGCUGAUAUCAGAUUAGGUUGUUGGUGAGGUAAAAGCUCACCAAGGCGACGAUCCUUAGCUGGUCUGAGAGGAUGAUCAGCCACACUGGGACUGAGACACGGCCCAGACUCCUACGGGAGGCAGCAGUGGGGAAUAUUGGACAAUGGGCGAAAGCCUGAUCCAGCAAUGCCGCGUGAGUGAUGAAGGCCUUCGGGUUGUAAAGCUCUUUUACUCGGGACGAUAAUGACGGUACCGAGAGAAUAAGCCCCGGCUAACUCCGUG